CAGCUACUGAAGGAUCUUUGGGUGCUUUAUCACCAAUAGCCCUCAGGAGGAGUCAGCAUAGUAAGACUGUCUUCUACCAGAGUCACUGAACAAUCAUUCAGUCCAUGCAGCACCAACUGUGUGCCAGGCUGGGACCGGGCGCCGGAACACGGGACCCUGAGAGCUAAGUUGCACUGCCAGCCCUGUUUCCUGGAGCACAUGGAGUAUGUCAAGUGCUGCUCCAGGAAAUGGAAUCAGGAGCCAAUGGUUCUAGAAGCUGCAGACUCUGUGCUUCUCUUUUCUGUGAGGAGGAACCAGGAACCAUAACGGCAUCACAGAUAAAGUACUGCACUUGGGGCCACCUGGACUCUAAUUCUGUGACAAGGCAAGGGCCCCAGAGAGGCUCCACUGUCCUCCUCUGGGACCUUGCUGGCGACUGGGGAGGAGGAGCUGGAGACAGGAGCCUUCCAUGGGUCACCUCUCACCAGUCUCUGAAAGCACCCAGAGCACAGGGGUGGCCCUGCUGCAGGCUGGCUCCAGGAGGAAAAUUACAGCCUCUCCAGGGUGCCUAUGACAAAUGACAGCUA